rnacentral:rRNA from 1 species
GACGAACGCUGGCGGCGUGCUUAACACAUGCAAGUCGAGCGAGGCUCCUCCUUCGGGAGGAUGCCCUAGCGGCGAACGGGUGAGUAACACGUGGGCAACCUGCCCCUAGCACUGGGAUAACCCCGGGAACCGGAGCUAAUACCGGAUACGACUUCGAAGGACAUCCUCCGAAGUAGGAAAAGGUUUAACUGGCGUAGGGAGUGGGCCCGGCCGGCCUAUCAGCUUGUUGGUGGGGUAACGGCCCACCAAGGCGACGACGGGUAGCCGGCCUGAGAGGGCGACCGGCC